GCUGAAAACAACUCACUUCACAACUCACAUUUUACUGGAAAACACAACAAAACACAGACAAACACAUGAGACAGAACUUCAUCACACUUCCUGCUUGUGUAUUGGUCAUGCUGGUGCACUGCUCUCCAGAACUGUGGAAAACUGGGAGAUCCGAGGGGUUCCUCCUCGCCCGGCCACAGAUUUUCUGUGUGCUCUGAUACAGACUGCUCAUACAGGUCUACUGCAUACUUGAUAACAUCAUUAAGACUUUCCUGAAAAAUACCAUCUCAGGACUGUGGUUCGACUCAGAAAUCUUCUCGACUGGAGGAUGAAAUGUUUCCCUGAGUGCUGCUGAAUAUUCUGGAGACUUUUAUGUUGAAAUUCUUGCUCCAAGCCAUCCACGGCUCCCUUGCUCCAAGCCAUCCACGGCUCCCUUGCUCAAAGCCUUCCAUGGCUCCUUGCUCCAAGCCAGCACCCACACCUGCCACGGCCAAUGAGCUGGAAGCCUCAUGCGUCCCAGAGUCAGCAUUGCCAACUUCGGCCAGGAGGAGGAGAAGAAAGGCUUCUGUUCCCACGUUUCUUCCCAUGUACACGACCAUGGAGGUUGUUUCCAAGUCUCUGCCCAUGUUCACGACCACAGAGGUCAUUCCCGAGUCUCUGCCUGCGUUCAUGACCACAGAGGUCGUUCCCGAGCCCCCAACUCCACCUCAGCCCUCUGAACCUCUGGCUCCGCCUUGGUCCUCCGAGCCUGCAGCGUUGCCCUGGCUCCGCCUUGGUCUCAAGCCUCCCUGACUUUGCCUUGUUCCUCUGCUCCCCUUGCACCUUGUGCCCCCUUGAACUGCCUGUUUCCCCCUUCCCCUCACAUCCCAUGGGCAAUUUUUUAUUUUUGUGUAGCGUCUGGAAUCCACUCCUUAAAGGGGGGCUCUGUCAUGUAUUUCCUGUUUUUGCCUAGACUUUUAUGUUGAAAUUCUUGUUUAGUUUCCCGUUCCUGUUUUCUGUGUUAGUUUUGUAGUCCUUUUGUAGUUUUAUUUCAUGAUUGGCUCUCCUUGAUUGUUUCCCCAGGUGUUCCUUGUUUUCCCUUGUGUAUUUAAGCCCUUAUUUUCCCUGGUUAGUUUGUCAGUCUUCACAUGUGUUUGUUAUGCUCUGUACUUGGUUCCCUGUGUUUUGUUUUCUUUAUAUUCUGAGCUACUUUAUCUUUGUUUAUUAAAGCUACGUUUAGAUCCUCAUUUUUCGCCUGCCUUGUUACAAUAUGAGUGACUUUUGUAUUCAAGGACAUUACAGUUUAAGGCCUGUUCACACCAAGUCCAUUUUUUUUCAGUACGGAUGUUUGUUCCGAACGAGAUUUAUGGUAACAAUGCAAUCCUAUGGCGCUAUGCACAUCAGGAAUCCGAAGAUAUUUUUUUUUUUACGGAGAGUGUUCUGUUUUUUUUUGUUUUGUUUUUUCUUCAGAUUGUGAUUAAAACUGACUGACCAAUGAGAAGACAUUUUUGUCAGUUGCUGCAGCUAAUCAACUGGUAAACACUGGCAUACAUGCAGCUGAUACACUCCCCCAAAUAUUAUAUAGUUAAAAAUAAAUAGUUGCAGUUCAUGAACUUGUACUGCAAAUAUAAACCCAGUCUGUUUUUGAAAGUCUGCUUAUGGUGUUUUAUUUUAAUGUACAUUAUUUAAUAUGUAUAUCACUGUGCCUGUUAUAUUCUCAUGGCAUUAAAAAUAGCAGCAAGUGUAGAAAAUCUCAAAAAAAGACUCUUUUUCAUGCAGUACUUUACUGUAGACAAACGAAUUGCAGAAACACACUGCUAUUUGUAAUGCAAGUGUACCACAACAAAGUAUUGCAAUAAUUUUAAUAAAGACAGAGAGCCAAGGAUAUUCUUUUAUAUUUGUAUAUUAUGCAUCACAUUUUAUAAUAUACCUGUUAUUCUUAAUGUAUA